CAUCAGUUUGUUCCCUAUUUCUUCUCUAGCCUGAGCCUGACACACUAUUCUAGCUAGACAUGGGUGUGGCUCGUGACACCUGAUGACCAAACGGAUCUACGACACCGUCGAAUCUCAAACUUUAACUACUAAAACUAUUGUUUUUCAUUCUAUAGUCCCUUUUAAAUUACUAAACGUCAUUUUUUUGUUCGAGAUUUGCAGGAACGCUUUCUUGGGGUUUGUGUGCAUGUAUUUCAAAUCAUACGGACCUAAAAAUUAGAAUCCAUUCCAUCUUUAUUCCCCUAGAGCCUUCCAGCAGUUCGUUAACCGCUCCAGUCGGAGCACGUUAUCAUUAUUGUUAGUUCUGAGUGAAUUCCCUCGGUAUGAUCAUUCUUUGAUCAGUUUGUUCCUCGUUUCUUCUCUAGUCUAAGCCUAACACACUAUUCUAGCUAGACAUGGGUGUGGCUCGUAACACCCGAUGACCAAACGGAUCUACGGCACCGUCGAAUCUCAAACUUUAACUGCGAAAACUAUUGUUUUUCAUCCCGUAGUCCUUUUUAGAAUUACUAAACAUCCUUUUUUGGGACGAGAUUUCCAGGAACGCUUUCUCGGGGUUUGUGUGCGCGUGUUUCAAACCAUACGGACCUUAAAAUUAGAAUUCAUUCCAUCUUUAUUCCCCUAGAGCCUUCCAGCAGUUCCUAAACCGCUCCAGUCGGAGCACGUUAUCAUUCUUGUUAGUUCUGAGCAAAUUCCCUCGGUAUGAUCAUUCUUUCAUCAGUUUGUUCCCUGUUUCUUCUCUAGUAUGAGCCUAGCACACUAUUCUAGCUAUUAAUGGGUGUGUAUCGUGACACCUAAUGACCAAACGGAUCUACGGCACCAUCGAAUAUCAAACUUUAACUGCCAAAACUAUUGUUUUUCAUACUGUAGUCCCUUUUACAAUUAUUGAACGUCCCUUUUUGGGCCGAUAUUUCUAGGAACGCUUUCUCGGGGUUUGUGUGCAUGUAUUUCAAACCAAACGUUCCUUAAAAUUUGAAAGCAUUCCAUGUUUAUUCCCCUAGAGCCUUCCAGCAGUUCCUAAACCGCUCCAGUCGGAGCACGUUAUCAUUCUUGUCAGUUCUGAGCGAAUUCCCUCGGUAUGAUCAUUUUUUCAUCAGUUUGUUCCCUAUUUCUUCACUAGUCUGAGCCUCGCACACUAUUCUAGCUAUUAAUGGGUGUGGAUCGUAACACCUGAUGACCAAACGGAUCUACGGCACCGUCGAAUCUCAAACUUUAAUUGCCAAAACUAUUGUUUUUCAUUCUGUAGUCCCUUUUAAAUUACUAAACGUCAUUUUUUGGGCUGAGAUAUCCAACAACGCUUUCUCGGGGUUUGUGUGCAUGUAUUUCAAACCAAACGUUCCUAAAAAUUAGAAGUCAUUCCAUCUUUAUUCCCCUAGAGCCUUCCAGCAGUUCCUAAACAGCUCUAGACGGAGCACGUUAUCAUUCUUGUUAGUUCUGAGCGAAUUCCCUCGGUAUGAUCAUUCUUUCAUCAGUUUGUUCUGCAUUCUUCUCUAGUCUGAGCCUCGCACACUAUUCUAGCUAUCAAUGGGUGUGGAUCAUAACACUAAUGACCAAACGGAUCUACGACACCAUCGAAUCUCAAACUUUAACAGCCAAAACUAUUGUUUUUCAUCCUGUAGUCCCUUUUAGAAUUACUAAACGUCCUUUUUUGGGCCGAGAUUUCCAGGAACGCUUUCUCGGGGUUUGUGUGCAUGUAUUUCAAACCAUAUGGACCUAAAAAUUAGAAGUCAUUCCAUCUUUAUUCCCCUAGAGCCUUCCAGCAGUUCCUAAACUGCUCUAGUCGGAGCAUGUUAUCAUUCUUGUUAGUUCUGAGUGAAUUCCCUCGGUAUGAUCAUUCUUUCAUCAGUUUGUUCCCCAUUUCUUCGCUAGUCUGAGCCUAGCACACUAUUCUAGAUAGACAUGGGUGUGGGUCUUAACACCUGAUGACCAAACGGAUCUACGGCACCCUCGAAUCUGAAACUUUAACUGCCAAAACUAUUGUUUUUCAUCUUGUAGUCCCUUUUAGAAUUACUAAACGUCCUUUUUUGGGACGAGAUUUCCAGAAUGCUUUCUCGGGGUUUGUGUGCAUGUAUUUCAAACCAAACGUUCCUAAAAAUUAAAAGUCAUUCCAUCUUUAUUCCCCUAGAGCCUUCCAGCAGUUCCUAAACAGCUCUAGUCGGAGCAUGUUAUCAUUCUUGUUAGUUCUGAGUGAAUUCCCUCGGUAUGAUCAUUCUUUCAUCAGUUUGUUCCCCGUUUCUUCUCUAGUCUGAGCCUAGCACACUACUCUAGCUAGACAUGGGUUUGGCUCGUAACACCUGAUAACCAAACGGGUCUACGACACCAUCGAAUCUCAAACUUUUUUGGGCCGAGAUUUCCAGGAACGCUUUCUCGNNNNNNNNNNUCGCUAGCCUAAGCCUGACACACUAUUCUAGCUACACAUGGGUGUGGCUCGUGACACCUAAUGACCAAACAGAUCUACGGCACCGUCGAAUCUCAAACUUUAACUACCAAAACUAUUGUUUUUCAUUCUGUAGUCCCUUUUAAAUUACUAAACGUCAUUUUUUGGGCCGAGAUUUCUAGGAACGCUUUCUCAGGGUUUGUGUGCAUGUAUUUCAAGUCAUAUGGACCUAAAAAUUAGAAUCCAUUCCAUCUUUAUUCCCCUAGAGCCUUCCAGCAGUUCCUAAACCGCUCCAGUCGGAGCACAUUAUCAUUAUUGUUAGUUCUGAGUGAAUUCCCUCGGUAUGAUCAUUCUUUCAUCAGUUUGUUCCCCGUUUCUGCUCUAGUCUGAGCUUAACACACUAUUCUAGCUAGACAUGGGUGUGGCUCGUAACACCUGAUGACCAAACGGAUCUACGAUACCGUCGAAUCUCAAACUUUAACUACGAAAACUAUUGUUUUUCAUUCUAUAGUCCCUUUUAGAAUUACUAAACGUCCUUUUUUGGGCCGAGAUUUCCAGGAACGCUUUCUCGGGGUUUGUGUGCACGUAUUUCAAACAAUACGGACCUAAAAAUUAGAAUUCAUUCCAUCUUUAUUCCCCUAGAGCCUUCCGGCAGUUCCUAAACCGCUCAAGUCGGAGCACUUUAUCAUUCUUGUUAGUUCUCAGCGAAUUCCCUCGGUAUGAUCAUUCUUUCAUCAGUUUGUUCCCCAUUUCUUCUCUAGCCUGAGCCUAACACACUAUUCUAGCUACAAAUGGGUGUGGCUCGUCACACCCGAUGACCAAACGGAUCUACGGCACCGUUGAAUCUCAAACUUUAACUGCGAAAACUAUUGUUUUUCAUCCUGUAGUCCUUUUUAGAAUUACUAAACGUCCUUUUUUGGGACGAGAUUUCCGGGAACGCUUUCUCGAGGUUUGUGUGCGCGUAUUUCAAACCAUACGAACCUUAAAAUUAGAAUUCAUUCCAUCUUUAUUCCCCUAGAGCCUUCCAGCAGUUCCUAAACCGCUCCAGUCGGAGCACGUUAUCAUUCUUGUUAGUUCUGAGCGAAUUCCCUCGGUAUGAUCAUUCUUUCAUCAGUUUGUUCCUUGUUGCUUCUCUAGCCUGAGCCUGAUACACUAUUCUAGCUAGACAUGGGUGUGGCUCGUGACACCUGAUAACCAAACGGAUCUACAGCACCGUCGAAUCUCAAACUUUAACUACCAAAACUAUUGUUUUCAUUCUGUAGUCCCUUUUAAAUUACUAAACGUCAUUUUUUCGGCCGAGAUUUCCAGGAACGCUUUCUUGGGGUUUGUGUGCAUGUAUUUCAAAUCAUAAGGACCUAAAAAUUAGAAUCCAUUCCAUCUUUAUUUCCCUAGAGCCUUCCAGCAGUUCCUAAACCGCUCCAGUCAGAGCAUGUUAUCAUUAUUGUUAGUUCUGAGUGAAUUCCCUCGGUAUGAUCAUUAUUUCAUCAGUUUGUUCCCCGUUUCUUCUCUAGUCUGAGCCUAACACACUAUUCUAGCUAGACAUGGGUGUGGCUCGUAACACCCGAUGACCAAACGGAUCUACGGCACCGUCGAAUCUCAAACUUUAACUGCGAAAACUAUUGUUUUUCAUCCUUUAGUCCUUUUUAGAAUUACUAAACGUCCUUUUUUGGGACGAGAUUUCCAGGAACGCUUUCUCGGGGUUUGUGUGCGCGUAUUUAAAACCAUACGAACCUUAAAAUUAGAAUUCAUUCCAUCUUUAUUCCCCUAGAGCCUUCCAGUAGUUCCUAAACCGCUCCAGUCGGAGCACCUUAUCAUUCUUGUUAGUUCUGAGCAAAUUCCCUCGGUAUGAUCAUUCUUUCAUCAGUUUGAUCCCCGUUUCUUCUCUAGUCUGAGCCUAGCACACUAUUCUAGCUAUUAAUGGGUGUGGAUCGUAACACCUAAUGACCAAACGGAUCUACGUCACCAUCGAAUCUCAAACUUUAACUACCAAAACUAUUGUUUUUCAUCCUGUAGUCCCUUAAAAUUAGAAUUCAUUCCAUCUUUAUUCCCCUAGAGCCUUCCAGUAGUUCCUAAACCGCUCCAGUCGGAGCACAUUAUCAUUCUUGUUUGUUCUAAGCGAAUUCCCUCAGUAUGAUCAUUCUUUCAUCAUUUUGUUCCCGGUUUCUUCUCUAGUCUGAGUCUAGCACACUAUUCUAGCUAGACAUGGGUGUGGCUCGUAACACCUGAUGACCAAACGGAUCUACGGCAUCGUCGAAUCUCAAACUUUAAUUGCCAAAACUAUUGUUUUUCAUCCUGUAGUCUCUUUUAAAUUUACUAAACGUCCUUUUUUGGGCUGAGAUUUCCUGGAACGCUUUCGUGCGGUUUGUGUGCAAGUAUUUCAAAUCAUACGGACCUAUAAAUUAGAAGUCAUUUCAUCUUUAUUCCCCUAGAGCCUUUGAGCGGUUCCUAAACCGCUCUAGUCGGAGCAUGUUAUCAUUCUUGUUAGUUCUGAGUGAAUUCCCUCGGUAUGAUAAUUCUUUCAUCAGUUUGUUCCCCGUUUCUUCUCUAGUCUGAGCCUAGCACACUACUCUAGCUAGACAUGGGUUUGGCUCGUAACACCUGAUAACCAAACGGGUCUACGACACCAUCGAAUCUCAAACUUUUUUGGGCCGAGAUUUCCAGGAACGCUUUCUCGGGGUUUGUGUGCACGUAUUUCAAAUCAUGCGGACCUAAAAAUUAGAAGUCAUUCCAUAUUUAUUCCCCUAGAGCCUUCCAGCAGUUCCUAAAUCGCUCUAGUCCGAGCAUGUUAUCAUUCUUGUUAGUUCUGAGCGAAUUCCCUCGCUAUGAUCAUUCUUUCAUCAGUUUGUUCUGCGUUUCUUCUCUAGUCUGAGCCUAGCACACUAUUCUAGCUAUUAAUGGGUGUGGAUCGUAACACAUAAUGACCAAACGGAUCUACGGUACCUUCGAAUCUCAAACUUUAACUGCCAAAACUAUUGUUUUUCAUCCUGUAGUCCCUUUUCGAAUUAUUAAACGUCCUCUUUUGGGCCGAGAUUUCUAGGAACGCUUUCUAGGGGUUGGUGUGCAUGUAUUUCAAAUCAUACGGACCUAAAAAUUAGAAGGCAUUUCAUCUUUAUUCCCCUAGAGCCUUCCAACAGUUCCUAAGCCGCUCCAGUCGGAGCAUGUUAUCAUUCUUGUUAGUUCUGAGCGAAUUCCCUCGGUAUGAUCAUUCUUUCAUUAGUUUGUUCCCUAUUUCUUCUCUAGCCUUAGCCUGACACACUAUUCUAGCUAGAAAUGGGUGUGUCUCGUGACACCUAAUGACCAAACGGAUCUACGGCACCGUCGAAUCUCAAACUUUAACUACCAAAACUAUUAUUUUUCAUUCUGUAGUCCCUUUGAAAUUACUAAAUGUCAUUUUUUGGGCCGAGAUUUCCAGGAACGCUUUCUCGGGGUUUGUGUGCAUGUAUUUCAAGUCAUACGGACCUAAAAAUUAAAAUCCAUUCCAUCUUUAUUCCCCUAGAGCCUUCCAGCAGUUCCUAAACCGCUCCAGUCGGAGCAUGUUAUCAUUAUUGUUAGUGCUGAGUGAAUUCCCUCGGUAUGAUCAUUCUUUCAUCAGUUUGGUCCCUGUUUCUUCUCUAGUCUGAGCCUAACACACUAUUCUAGCUAGACAUGGGUGUGGCUCGUAACACCUGAUGACCAAACGGAUCUACGGCACCGUCGAAUCUCAAACUUUAACGACGAAAACUAUUGUUUUUCAUUCUAUAAUCCCUUUUAGAAUUACUAAACGUCCUUUUUUGGGACGAGAUUUCCAGGAACGCUUUCUCCGGGUUUGUGUGUGAGUAUUUCAAACAAUACGGACCUAAAAAUUUGAAUUCAUUCCAUCUUUAUUGCCCUAGAGCCUUCCAGCAGUUCCGAAACCGCUCCAGUCGGAGCACGUUAUCAUUCUUGUUAGUUCUCAGGGAAUUCCCUUGGUAUGAUCAUUCUUUCAUCAGUUUGUUCCCCGUUUCUUCUCUAGCCUGAGCCUAACACACUAUUCUAGCUACACAUGGGUGUGGCUCCUAACACCUGAUGACCAAACGGAUCUAUGGCACCGUCGAAUCUCAAACUUUAACUGCCAAAACUAUUGUUUUUCAUCCUGUAGUCCCUUGUAGAAUUACUAAACGUCCUUUUUUGGGUCUAGAUUUCGAGGAACACUUUGCCGGGGUUUGUGUGCACGUAUUUCAAACCAUACGGACCUAAAAGUUAGAAGUCAUUCAGUCUUUGUUCCCCUAGAGCCUUCCAGCAGUUCCUAAACCGCUCCAGUCGGAGCAUGUGAUCGUUCUUGUUAGUUCUGAGCGAAUUCCCUCGUUAUGAUCAUUCUUUCAUCAGUUUGUUCCCUGUUUCUUCUCUAUCCUGAGCCUGACACACUAUUCUAGCUAGACAUGGGUGUGGCUCGUGACACCUGAUGACCAAACGGAUCUACGGCACCGUCGAAUCUCAAACUUUAACUACCAAAACUAUUGUUUUUCAUUCUGUAGUCCCUUUUAAAUUACUAAACAUCAUUUUUUGGACAGAGAUUUCGAGGAAUGCUUUCUCGGGGUUUGUGUGCAUGUAUUUCAAAUCAUACGGGCCUAAAAAUUAGAAUCCAUUCCAUCUUUAUUCCCCUGGAGCCUUCCAGCAGUUCCUAAACCGCUCCAGUCGGAGCAUGUUAUCAUUAUUGUUAGUUCUGAGUGAAUUCCCUCGGUAUGAUCAUUCUUUCAUCAGUUUGCUCCCCGUUUCUUCUCUAGUCUGAGCCUAACACACUAUUCUAGCUAGACAUGGGUGUGGCUCGUAACACCUGAUGACCAAACGGAUCUACGGCACCCUCGAAUCUCAAACUUUAACUGCCAAAACUAUUGUUUUUCAUCUUGUAGUCCCUUUUAGAAUUACUAAACAUCCUUUUUUGGGCCGAGAUUUCCAGGAACGCUUUCUCGGGGUUUGUGUGCAUGUAUUUCAAACCAAACGUUCCUAAAAAUUAGAAGGCAUUCCAUCUUUAUUCCCCUAGAGCCUUCCAGAAGUUCCUAAACAGCUCUAGUCGGAGCAUGUUAUCAUUCUUGUUAUUUCUGAGUGAAUUCCCUCGGUAUGAUCAUUCUUUCAUCAGCAUCAGUUUGUUUUGCGUUUCUUCUCUAGUCUGAGCCUAGCACACUAUUCUAGCUAUUAAUGGGUGUGGAUCGUAACACCUAAUGACCAAACGGAUCUACGGCACCAUCGAAUCUCAAACUUUAACUGCCAAAACUAUUGUUUUUCAUCCUGUAGUCCCUUUCCGAAUUAUUAAACGUUCUUUUUUGGGCCGAGAUUUCCAGGAACGCUUUCUCGGAGUUUGUGUGCAUGUAUUUCAAAUCAUACGGACCUAAAAAUUAGAAGGCGUUCCAUCUUUAUUCCCCUAGAGCCUUCCAGCAGUUCCUAAACCGCUCCAGUCGGAGCAUGUUAUCAUUCUUGUUAGUUCUGAGCGAAUUCCCUCGGUAUGAUCAUUCUUUCAUUAGUUUGUUCCCUGUUUCUUCGCUAGCCUGAGCCCGACAUACUAUUCUAGCUAGACAUGGGUGUGGCUCGUGACACCUAAUAACCAAACGGAUCUACGGCACCGUCGAAUCUCAAACUUUAACUGCAAAAACUAUUGUUUUUCAUUCUGUAGUCCCUUUUCAAUUACUAAACAUCCUUUUUUGGGCCGAGAUUUCCAGGAACGCUUUCUCGGGGUUUGUGUGCAUGUAUUUCAAGUCAUACAGACCUAAAAAUUAGAAUCCAUUCCAUCUUUAUUCCCCUAGAGCCUUCCAGCAGUUCCUAAACCGCUCCAGUCGGAGCACGUUAUCAUUAUUGUUAGUUCUGAGUGAAUUCCCUCGGUAUUAUCAUUCUUUCAUCAGUAUGUUCCCCGUUUCUUCUCUAGUCUGAGCCUAACACACUAGUCUAGCUAGACAUGGGUGUGGCUCGUAACACCUGAUGACCAAACGGAUCUACGGCACCAUCGAAUCUCAAACUUUAACUACGAAAACUAUUGUUUUUCAUUCUAUAGUCCCUUUUAGAAUUACUAAACGUCCUUUUUUGGCCCGAGAUUUCCAGGAACGCUUUCUCGGGGUUUGUGUGCGCGUAUUUCAAACAAUACGGACCUAAAAAUUAGAAUUCAUUCCAUCUUUAUUCCCCUAGAGCCCUCCAGUAGUUCCUAAACCGCUCCAGUCGGAGCACGUUAUCAUUCUUGUUAGUUCUGAGGGAAUUCCCUCGGUAUGAUCAUUCUUUCAUCAGUUUGUUCCCUGUUUCUUCUCUAGCCUGAGCCUAACACACUAUUCUAGCUACACAUGGGUGUGGCUCCUAACACCUGAUGACCAAACGGAUAUACGGCACCGUCGAAUCUCAAACUUUAACUGCCAAAACUAUUGUUUUUCAUCCUGUAGUCCCUUGUAGAAUUACUAAACAUCCUUUUUGGGCCGUGAUUUCGAGGAAUGCUUUGUCGGGUUUGUGUGCACGUAUUUCAAACCAUACGGACCAAAAAAUUAUAAGUCAUUCCAUCUUUGUUCCCCUAGAGCCUUCCAUCAGUUCCUAAACCGCUCCAGUCGGAGUAUGUUAUCAUUCUUGUUAGUUCUGAGCGAAUUCCCUCGGUAUGAUCAUGCUUUCAUCAGUUUGUUCCCUGUUUCUUCUCUAGCCUGAGCCUGACACACUAUUCUAGCUAGACAUGGGUGUGGCUCGUGAGACCUGAUGACCUAACGGAUCUACGGCACCGUCGAAUCUCAAACUUUAACUACCAAACCUAUUGUUUUUCAUUCUGUAGUCCCUUUUAAAUUACUAAACGUCAUUUUUUUGGCCGAGAUUUCCAGGAACGCUUUCUUGGGGUUUGUGUGCAUGUAUUUCAAAUCAUACGGACCUAAAAAUUAGAAUCCAUUCCAUCUUUAUUCCCCUAGAGCCUUCCAGCAGUUCCUAAACCGCUCCAGUCGGAGCACGUUAUCAUUAUUGUUAGUUCUGAGUGAAUUCCCUCGGUAUGAUCAUUCUUUCAUCAGUUUGUUCCCCGUUUCUUCUCUAGUCUGAGCCUAACACACUAUUCUAGCUAGACAUGGGUGUGGCUCGUAACACCCGAUGACCAAACGAAUCUAUGGCACCGUCGAAUCUCAAACUGUAAGUGCCAAAACUAUUGUUUUUCAUCCUGUAGUCCCUUUUAGAAUUACUAAACGUCCUUUUUUGGGCAGAUAUUUCCAGGAACGCUUUAUCGGGGUUUGUGUGCGCGUAUUUCAAACCAUACGGACCUAAAAAUUAGAAGUCAUUCCAUCUUUAUUCCCCUAGAGCCUUCUAGCAGUUCCUAAACCGCUCCAGUCGGAGCACGUUAUCAUUCUUGUUAGUUCUGAGCAAAUUCCCUCGGUAUGAUCAUUCUUUCAUCAGUUUGUUCCCCGUUUCUUCUCUAGUCUGAGCCUAGCACACUAUUCUAGCUAUUAAUGGGUGUGGAUCGUAACACCUAAUGACCAAACGGAUCUACGGCACCAUCGAAUCUCAAAUUUAACUGCCAAAACUAUUGUUUUUCAUCCUGUAGUCCCUUUUACAAUUAUUAAACGUCCUUUUUUGGGCCGAGAUUUCCAGGAUCGCUUUCUCGGGGUUUGUGUGCAUGUAUUUCAGACCAAACGUUCCUAAAAAUUUGAAGGCAUUCCAUCUUUAUUCCCCUAGAGCCUUCCAGCGGUUCCUAAACCGCUCCAGUCGGAGCACGUUAUCAUUCUUGUUUGUUCUGAGCGAAUUCCCUCAGUAUGAUCAUUCUUUCAUCAUUUUGUUCCCGGUUUCUUCUCUAGUCUGAGUCUAGCACACUAUUCUAGCUAGACAUGGGUGUGGCUCGUAACACCUAAUGACCAAACGGAUCUACGGCACCGUCGAAUCUCAAACUUUAACUGCCAAAACUAUUGUUUUUCAUCCUGUAGUCCCUUUUAAAUUUACUAAACGUCCUUUUUUGGGCUGAGAUUUCCAGGAACGCUUUCGUGCGGUUUGUGUGCAAGUAUUUCAAAUCAUACGGACCUAUAAAUUAGAAGUCAUUUCAUCUUUAUUCCCCUAGAGCCUUCGAGCGGUUCCUAAACCGCUCCAGUCGGAGCAUGUUAUCAUUCUUGUUAGUUCUGAGUGAAUUCCCUCGGUAUGAUCAUUCUUUCAUCAGUUUGUUCCCCGUUUCUUCUCUAGUCUGAACCUAGCACACUACUCUAGCUAGACAUGGGUUUGGCUCGUAACACCUGAUAACCAAACGGGUCUACGACACCAUCGAAUCUCAAACUUUUUUGGGCCGAGAUUUCCAGGAACGCUUUCUCGGGGUUUGUGUGCACGUAUUUCAAAUCAUGCGGACCUAAAAAUUAGAAGUCAUUCCAUAUUUAUUCCCCUAGAGCCUUCCAGCAAUUCCUAAACCGCUCCAGUCGGAGCAUGUUAUCAUUCUUGCUAGUUCUCAGGGAAUUCCCUCGGUACGAUCAUUCUUUCAUUAGUUUGUUCCCCGUUUUUUCUCUAGCCUGAGCCUAACACACUAUUCUAGCUACACAUGGGUGUGGCUCGUAACACCUGAUGACCAAACGGAUCUAUGGCACCGUCGAAUCUCAAACUUUAACUGCCAAAACUAUUGUUUUUCAUCCUAUAGUCCCUUUUAGAAUUACUAAACGUCCUUUUUUGGGCCGAGAUUUCCAGGAACGCUUUCUCGGGGUUUGUGUGCACGUAUUUCAAACCAUACGGACCUAAAAAUUAGAAGUCAUUCCAUCUUUAUUCCCCUAGAGCCUUCCAGCAGUUCCUAAACUUCUCUAGUCGGAGCAUGUUAUCAUUCUUGUUAGUUCUGAGUGAAUUCCCUCGGUAUGAUCAUUCUUUCAUCAGUUUGUUCUUCGUUUCUUCUCUAGUCUGAGCCUAGCACACUAUUCUAGAUAGACAUGGGUGUGGGUCAUAACACCUGAUGACCAAACGGAUCUACGGCACCCUCGAAUCUCAAACUUUAACUGCCAAAACUAUUGUUUUUCAUCUUGUAGUCCCUUUUAGAAUUACUAAACGUCCUUUUUUGGGCCGAGAUUUCCAGGAACGCUUUCUCGGGGUUUGUGUGCAUAUAUUUCAAACCAAACGUUCCUAAAAAUUAGAAGUCAUUCCAUCUUUAUUCCCCUAGAGGCUUCCAGUAGUUCCUAAACAGCUCUAGUCGGAGCACGUUAUCAUUCUUGUUAGUUCUGAGCGAAUUCCCUCGGUAUGAUCAUUCUAUCAUCUGUUUGUUCCCUGUUUCUUCGCUAGCCUAAGCCUGACACACUAUUCUAGCUAGACAUGGGUGUGGCUCGUGACACCUAAUGACCAGACGGAUCUACGGCACCAUCGAAUCACAAACUUUAACUGCCAAAACUAUUGUUUUUCAUCCUGUAGUCCCUUUUUGAAUUAUUAAACGUCCUUUUUUGGGCCGAUAUUUCCAGGAACGCUUUCUAGGGGUUUGUGUGCAUGUAUUUCAAAUCAUACGGACCUAAAAAUUAGAAGGUAUUCCAUCUUUAUUCCCCUAGAGCCUUCCAGCAGUUCCUAAACCGCUCCAGUCGGAGCAUGUUAUCAUUCUUGUUAGUUCUGAGCGAAUUCCCUCGGUAUGAUCAUUCUUUCAUCAGUUUGUUCCCUGUUUCUUCUCUAGCCUGAGCCUGGCACACUAUUCUAGCUUGACAUGGGUGUGGCUCAUGACACCUAAUGACCAAACGGAUCUACGGCACCAUCAAAUCUCAAACUUUAGCUACCAAAACUAUUGUUUUUCAUUCUGUAGUCCCUUUUAAAUUACUAAACGUCAUUUUUGGGCCGAGAUUUCCAGGAACGCUUUCUCGGGAUUUGUGUGCUUGUAUUUCAAGUUAUACGGACCUAAAAAUUAGAAUCCAUUCCAUCUUUAUUCCCCUAGAGCCUUCCAGCAGUUCCUAAACCGCUCCAGUCGAAGCACGUUAUCAUUAUUGUUAGUUCUGAGUGAAUUCCCUCGGUACGAUCAUUCUUUCAUCAGUUUGUUCCCCGUUUCUUCUCUAGUCUGAGCCUAACACACUAUUCUAGCUAGACAUGGGUGUGGCUCGUAACACCUGAUGACCAAACGGAUCUAAGGCACCGUCGAAUCUCAAACUUUAACUACGAAAACUAUUGUUUUUCAUUCUAUAGUCCCUUUUAGAAUUACUAAACAUCCUUUUCUGGGACGAGAUUUCCAGGAAGGCUUUCUUGGGGUUUGUGUGCGUGUAUUUCAAACAAUACGGACCUGAAAAUUAGAAUUCAUUCCAUCUUUAUUCCCCUAGAGCCUUCCAGCAGUUCCUAAACCGCUACAGUCGGAGCACGUUAUCAUUCUUGUUAGUUCUGAGGGAAUUCCCUUAGUAUGAUCAUUCUUUCAUCAGUUUGUUCCCCGUUUCUUCUCUAGCCUGAGCCUAACACACUAUUUUAGCUACACAUGGGUGUGGCUCGUAACACCUGAUGACCAAACGGAUCUACGGCAUCGUCGAAUCUCAAACUUUAACUGCCAAAACUAUUGUUUUUCAUCCUGUAGUCCCUUGUAGAAUUACUAAACGUCCUUUUUUGGGCCGAGAUUUGGAGGAACACUUUGUCGAGGUUUGUGUGAACGUAUUUCAAACCAUACGGACCUAAAAAUUAGAAGUCAUUCCAUCUUUGUUCCCCUAGAGCCUUCCAGCAGUUCCUAAACCGCUCCAGUCGGAGCAUGUUAUCAUUCUUGUUAGUUCUGAGGGAAUUCCCUCGGUAUGAUCAUUCUUUCAUCAGUUUGUUCCCUGUUUCUUCUCUAGCCUGAGCCUGACACACUAUUCUAGCUAGACAUGGGUGUGGCUCGUGACACCUGGUGACCAAACGGAUCUACGGCACCGUCGAAUCUCAAACUUUAACUACGAAAACUAUUGUUUUUCAUCCUGUAGUCCUUUUUAGAAUUACUAAACGUCCUUUUUUGGGCCGAGAUUUCGAGGAACGCUUUGUCGGGGUUUGUGUGCGCGUAUUUCAAACCAUACGGACCUAAAAAUUAGAAGUCAUUCCAUCUUUAUUCCCCUAGAGCCUUCCAGUAGUUCCUAAACAGCUCUAGUCGGAGCACGUUAUCAUUCUUGUUAGUUCUGAGCGAAUUCCCUCGGUAUGAUCAUUCUUUCAUCAGUUUGUUCUGCGUUUCUUCUCUAGUCUGAGCCUAGCACACUAUUCUAGCUAUUAAUGGGUGUGGAUCGUAACACCUAAUGACCAAACGGAUCUACGACACCGUCGAAUGUCGGUAUGAUCAUUCUUUCAUCAGUUUGUUCCCUGUUUCUUCUCUAGCCUGAGCCUGACACACCAUUCUAGCUAGACAUGGGUGUGGCUCGUGACACCUGAUGACCAAACGGAUCUACGGCACCGUCGAAUCUCACGCUUUCUCGGGGUCUGUGUGCAUGUAUUUCAAAUCAUACGGACCUAAAAAUUAGAAUCCAUUCCAUCUUUAUUCCCCUAGAGCCUUCCAGCAGUUCCUAAACCGCUCCAGUCGGAGCACACUAUCAUUAUUGUUAGUUCUGAGUGAAUUCCCUCGGUAUGAUCAUUCUUUCAUCAGUUUGUUCCCCGUUUCUUCUCUAGUCUGAGCAUAACACACUAUUCUAGCUAGACACGGGUGUGGCUGUAACACCCGAUGACCAAACGGAUCUACGGCACCGUCGAAUCUCAAACUUUAACUACGAAAACUAUUGUUUUUCAUCCUGUAGUCCUUUUUAGAAUUACUAAACGUCCUUUUUUGGGACGAGAUUUCCAGGAACGCUUUCUCGGGGUUUGUGUGCGCGUAUUUCAAACCAUAUGAACCUUAAAAUUAGAAUUCAUUCCAUCUUUAUUCCCCUAGAGCCUUCCAGCAGUUCCUAAACCGCUCCAGUCGGAGCACGUUAUCAUUCUUGUUUGUUCUGAGCAAAUUCCCUCAGUAUGAUCAUUCUUUCAUCAUUUUGUUCCCGGUUUCUUCUCUAGUCUGAGUCUAGCACACUAUUCUAGCUAGACAUGGGUGUGGCUCAUAACACCUAAUGACCAAACGGAUCUACGGCACCAUCGAAUCUCAAACUUUAACUGCUAAAACUAUUGUAUUUCAUCCUUUAGUCCCUUAUCAUUCUUGUUAGUUCUGAGUGAAUUCCCUUGGUAUGAUCAUUCUUUCAUCAGUUUGUUCCCCGUUUCUUCUCUAGUCUGAGCCUAGCACACUAUUCUAGCUAGACAUGGGUGUGGCUCAUAACACCUUAUGACCAAACGGAUCUACGGCACCAUCGAAUCUCAAACUUUAACUGCCAAAACUAUUGUUUUUCAUCCUGUAGUCCCUUUUAGAAUUACUAAACGUCCUUUUUUGGGCAGAUAUUUCCAGGAACGCUUUAUCGGGGUUUGUGUGCACAUAUUUCAGACCAUACGGACCUAAAAAUUAGAAGUCAUUCCAUCUUUAUUCCCCUAUAGCCUUCCAGCAGUUCCUAAACCACUCCAGUCGGAGCACGUUAUCAUUCUUGUUAGUUCUGAGCGAAUUCCCUCGAUAUGAUCAUUCUUUCAUCAAUUUGUUCCCCGUUUCUUCUCUAGUCUAAGCCUAGCAAACUAGUCUAGCUAGACAUGGGUGUGGCUCGUAACACCUGAUGACCAAACGCAUCUAUGACAUCGUCAAAUCUCAAACUAUAACUGCCAAAACUAUUGUUUUUCAUCCUGUAGUCCCUUUUAGAAUACUAAACGUCCUUUUUUGGGCCGAGAUUUCCACGAUCGCUUUCUCGGGGUUUGUGUGCAUGUAUUUCAAACCAAACGUUCCUAAAAAUUUGAAGGCAUUCUAUCUUUAUUCCCCUAGAGCCUUCCAGCAGUUCCUAAACCGCUCCAGUCGGAGCACGUUAUCAUUCUUGUUUGUUCUGAGCGAAUUCCCUCAGUAUGAUCAUUCUUUCAUCAUUUUGUUCCCGGUUUCUUCUCUAGUCUGAGUCUAGCACACUAUUCUAGCUAGACAUGGGUGUGGCUCGUAACACCUAAUGACCAAACGGAUCUACGGCACCGUCGAAUCUCAAACUUUAACUGCUAAAACUAUUGUUUUUCAUCCUUUAGUCCCUUGUAGAAUUACUAAACGUCCUUUUUUGGGCCGAGAUUUCGAGGAACGCUUUGUCGGGGUUUGUGUGCACGUAUUUCAAACCAUACGGACCUAAAAAUUAGAAGUCAUUCCAUCUUUGUUCCCUUAGAGCCUUCCAGCAGUUCCUAAACCGCUCCAGUCGGAGCACGUUAUCAUUCUUGUUAGUUCUGAGCAAAUUCCCUCGGUAUGAUCAUUCUUUCAUCAGUUUGUUCCCUGUUUCUUCUCUAGUCUGAGCCUAGCACACUAUUCUAGCUAUUAAUGGGUGUGGAUCGUAACACCUGAUAACCAAACGGAUCUACGACACCGUCGAAUCUCAAACUUUAACUGCCAAAACUACUGUUUUUCAUUCCGUAGUCCCUUUUAAAUUACUAAACGUCAUUUUUUGGGCAGAGAUAUCCAGGAACGCUUUCUCGGGGUUUGUGUGCACGUAUUUCAAAUCAUACGGACCUAAAAAUUAGAAUCCAUACCAUCUUUAUUCCCCUGGAGCUUUCCAGCAGUUCCUAAACCGCUCCAGUCGGAGCACGUUAUCAUUAUUUUUAGUUCUGAGUGAAUUCCCAUGGUAUGAUCAUUUUCUCAUCAGUUUGUUCCCCGUUUCUUCUCUAGUCUGAGCCUAUCACACUAUUCUAGCUAGACAUGGGUGUGGCUCGUAACACCUGAUGACCAAACGGAUCUACGGCACCGUCGAAUCUCAAACUUCAACUGCCAAAACUAUUAUUUUUCAUCCUGUAGUCCCUUUUAGAAUUACUAAAUGUCCUUUUUUGGGCCGAGAUUUCCAGGAACGCUUUCUCGGGGUUUGUGUGCAUGUAUUUCAAACCAUACGGACCUAAAAAUUAGGUCAUUCCAUCUUUAUUCCCCUAGAGCCUUCCAGCAGUUCCUAAACCGCUCCAGUCGGAGCACGUUAUCAUUCUUGUUUGUUCUGAGCGAAUUCCCUCGAUAUGAUCAUUCUUUCAUCAGUUUGUCCCCCGUUUCUUCUCUAGCCUGAGCCUGACACACUAUUCUAGCUAGACAUGGGUGUGGCUCGUAACACCUAAUGACCAAACGGAUCUACGGCACCGUUGAAUCUCAAACUUUAACUGCCAAAACUAUUGUUUUUCAUUAUGUAGUCCCUUUUAAAUUACUAAACGUCAUUUUUUGGGCUGAGAUAUCCAGGAAAGCUUUCUCGGGGUUUGUGUGCACGUAUUUCAAAUCAUACGGACCUAAAAAUUAGAAGUCAUUCCAUAUUUAUUCCCCUAGAGCCUUCCAGAAAUUCCUAAACCGCUCCAGUUGGACCACGUUAUCAUUCUUGUUAGUUCUGAGUGAAUUACCUCAGUAUGAUCAUUCUUUCAUCAGUUUGUUCCCCGUUUCUUCUAUAGUCUGAGCCUAGCACACUACUCUAGCUAGACAUGGGUGUGGCUCGUAACACCUGAUGACCAAACAGAUCUACGACACCGUCAAAUCUCAAACUUUAACUGCCAAAACUAUUGUUUUUCAUCCUGUAGUCCCUUUUAGAAUUACUAAACGUCCUUUUUUGGGCUGAGAUUUCCAGGAACGCUUUCGCGGGGUUUGUGUGCACGUAUUUUAAACCAUACGGACCUAAAAAUUAGAAGUCAUUCCAUCUUUAUUCCCCUAGAGCCUAACACACUAUUAUAGCUAGACAUGGGUGUGGCUCGUAACACCUGAUGACCAAACGGAUCUACGGCACCAUCGAAUCUCAAACUUUAACUGCCAAAACUAUUGUAUUUCAUCAUGUAGUCCCUUUUAGAAUUAUUAAACGUCCUUUUUUUGGGCCGUGAUUUCCAUGAACGCUUUCUCGGGGUUUCUGUGCACGUAUUUCAAAUCAUACAGACCUAAAAAUUAGAAGGCAUUUCAUCUUUAUUCCCCUAGAGCCUUCCAGCAGUUCCUAAACCGCUCCAGUCGGACCAUGUUAUCAUUCUUGUUAGUUCUGAGUGAAUUCCCUCGAUAUGAUCAUUCUUUCAUCAGUUUGUUCCCCGUUUCUUCUCUAGUCUGAGCCUAGCUCACUAUUCUAGCUAGAUAUGGGUGUGGCUCAUAAUACCCGAUGACCAAACGGAUCUACGGCACCAUCGAAUCUCAAACUUUAGCUGCCAAAACUAUUGUUUUUCAUCCUGUAGUCCCUUUUAGAAUUACUAAACGUCCUUUUUUGGGCCGGGAUUUCCAGGAGCGCUUUCUCGGGGUUUGUGUGCACGUAUUUCAAACCAAGCGUUCCUAAAAAUUAGAAGUCAUUUGAUCUUUAUUCCCCUAGAGCCUUCCAGCAGUUCCUAAACCGCUCCAGUCGGCGCACGUUAUCAUUCUUGUUAGUUCUGAGCGAAUUCCCUCGGUAUGAUCAUUCUUUCAUCAGUUUGUUCCUCGUUUCUUCUCUAGUCUGAGCCUAGCACACUAUUCUAGCUAGACAUGGGUGUGGGUCAUAACACCUGAUGACCAAACCGAUCUACGGCACCAUCGAAUCUCAAACUUUAACUACCAAAACUAUUGUUUUUCAUCCUGUAGUCCCUUUUAGAAUUACCAAACGUCCUUUUUUGGGCCGAGAAUUCCAAGAAUGCUUUCUCGGGGUUUGUGUGCACAUAUUUCAAACCAAACAUUCCUAAAAAUUAGAAAUCAUUCCAUCUUUAUUCCCCAAGAGCCUUCCAGCAGUUCCUAAACAGCUCCACUCAGAGCACGUUGUCAUUCUUGUUAGUUCUGAGCGAAUUCCCUCGGUAUGAUCAUUCUUUCAUCAGUUUGUUCCCUGUUUCUUCUCUAGUCUGAGCCUCGCACACUAUUCUAGCUAUUAAUGGGUGUGGAUCGUAACUCCUGAUGACCAAACGGAUCUACGGCACCGUCGAAUCUCAAACUUUAACUGCCAAAACUACUGUUUUUCAUUCUGUAGUCCCUCUUAAAUUACUAAACGUCAUUUUUUGGGCUGAGAUAUCCAGGAACGCUUUCUCGGGGUUUGUGUGCACGUAUUUCAAAUCAUACGGACCUAAAAAUUAGAAGUCAUUCCAUCUUUAUUCCCCUAGAGCCUUCCAGCAGUUCCUAAACCACUCCAGUCGGAGCACGUUAUCAUUAUUGUUAGUUCCGAGUGAAUUCCCUUGGCAUGAUCUUUCUUUCAUCAGUUUGUUCCCCGUUUCUUCUCUAGUGUUAGCCUAUCACACUAUUCUAGCUAGACAUGGGUGUGGCUCGUAACACCUGAUGACCAAACGGAUCUACGGCACCGUCGAAUUUCAAACUUUAACUGCCAAAACUAUUGUUUUUCCUCCUGUAGUCCCUUUUAGAAUUACUAAAUGUCCUUUUUUGGGCCGAGAUUUCCAGGAAUGCUUUCUCGGGGUUUGUGUGCAUGUAUUUCAAACCAUACGGACCUAAAAAUUAGGUCAUUCCAUAUUUAUUCCCCUAGAGCCUUCCAGCAGUUCCUAAACAUCUCCAGUCGGAGCACGUUAUCAUUCUUGUUUGUUCUGAGCGAAUUCCCUCAGUAUGAUCAUUCUUUCAUCAUUUUGUGCCCUGUUUCUUCUCUAGUCUGAGCAUAGCACACUAUUCUAGCUAGACAUGGGUGUGGCUCGUAACACCUGAUGACCAAACGGAUGUACGACACCGUCGAAUCUCAAACUUUAACUGCCAAAACUAUUGUUUUUCAUCCUGUAGUCCCUUUUAAAUUUACUAAAUGUCCUUUUUGGGCUGAGAUUUCCAGGAACGCUUUCGUGCGGUUUGUGUGCAAGUAUUUCUAAUCAUACGGACCUAUAAAUUAGAAGUCAUUCCAUCUUUAUUCCCCUAGAGCCUUCGAGCAGUUCCUAAACCGCGCCAGCCGGAGCAUGUUAUCAUUCUUGUUAGUUCUGAGUGAAUUCCCUCGGUAUGAUCAUUCUUUCAUCAGUUUGUUCCCCGUUUCUUCUCUAGUCUGAGCCUAGCACACUACUCUAGCUAGACAUGGGUUUGGCUCGUAACACCUGAUAACCAAACAGGUCUACGACUCCAUCGAAUCUCAAACUUUUUUGGGCCGAGAUUUCCAGGAACGCUUUCUCGGGGUUUGUGUGCACGUAUUUCAAAUCAUGCGGACCUAAAAAUUAGAAGUCAUUCCAUAUUUAUUACCCUAGAGCCUUCCAGCAGUUCCUAAACCGCUCCAGUCGGAGCAUGUUAUCAUUCUCUUUAGUUCUCAGGGAAUUCCCUCGGUAUGAUCAUUCUUUCAUCAGUUUAUUCCCUGUUUUUUCUCUAGCAUGAGCCUAACACACUAUUCUAGCUACACAUGGGUGUGGCUCGUAACACCUGAUGACCAAACGGAUCUACGGCACCGUCGAAUCUCAAACUUUAACUGCCAAAACUAUUGUUUUCGUCCUGUAGUCCCUUUUAGAAUUACUAAACGUCCUUUUUUGGGCCGAGAUUUCCAGGAACGCUUUCUCGGGGUUUGUGUGCACGUAUUUCAAAUCAUACGGACCUAAAAAUUAGAAGUCAUUCCAUCUUUAUUCCCCUAGAGCCUUCCAGCAGUUCCUAAACAGCUCUAGUCGGAGCAAGUUAUCAUUCUUGUUAGUUCUGAGCGAAUUCCCUCGGUAUGAUCAUUCUUUCAUUAGUUUGUUCUGCGUUUCUUCUCUAGUCUGAGCCUAGCACACUAUUCUAGCUAUUAAUGGGUGUGGAUCGUAACACCUAAUGACCAACGGAUCUACGGCACCAUCGAAUCUCAAACUUUAACUGCCAAAACUAUUAUUUUUCAUCCUGUAGUCCCUUUAAAAAUUAUUAAAUGUCAUUUUUUGGGCCGAGAUUUCCAGGAACGCUUUCUCGGGGUUUGUGUGCAUGUAUUUCAAGUCAUACGGACCUAAAAAUUAGAAUCCAUUCCAUCUUUAUUCCCCUAGAGCCUUGCAGCAGUUCCUAAACCGCUCCAGUCGGAGCACGUUAUCAUUAUUGUUAGUUCUGAGUGAAUUCCCUCGGUAUGAUUAUUCUUUCAUCAGUUUGUUCCCCAUUUCUUCUCUAGUCUGAGCCUAACACACUAUUCUAGCUAGACAUGGGUGUGGCUCGUAAUACCUGAUGACCAAACGGAUCUACAGCACCGUCGAAUCUCAAACUUUAACUACGAAAACUAUUGUUUUUCAUUCUAUAGUCCCUUUCAGAAUUACUAAACGUCCUUUUUUGGGCCGAGAUUUCCAGGAACGCUUUCUCGGGGUUUGAGUGCGCGUAUCUAACAAUACAGACCUAAAGAUUAGAAUUCAUUCCAUCUUUAUUCCCCUAGAGCCUUCCAGCAGUUCCUAAACUGCUCCAGUCGGAGCACGUUAUCAUUCUUGUUAGUUCUCAGGGAAUUCCCUCGGUAUGAUCAUUCUUUCAUCAGUUUGUUCCCCGUUUCUUCUCUAGCAUGAGCCAAACACACUAUUCUAGCUACACAUGGGUGUGCCUCGUAACACCUGAUGACCAAACGGAUCUACGGCACCGUCGAAUCUCAAACUUUAACUGCCAAAAUUAUUGUUUUUCAUCUUGUAGUCCCUUGUAGAAUUACUAAACGUCCUUUUUUGGGCCGAGAUUUCGAGAAACACUUUGUCAGGGUUUGUUUGCACGUAUUUCAAACCAUACGGACCUAAAAAUUAGAAGUCAUUCCAUCUUUGUUCCCCUAGAGCCUUCCAGCAGUUCCUAAACCGCUCCAGUCGGAGCAUGUUAUCAUUCUUGUUAGUUCUGAGCAAAUUCCCUCGGUAAGAUCAUUCUUUCAUCAGUUUGUUCCCUGUUUCUUCUCUAGCCUGAGCCUGACACACUAUUCUAGCUAGACAUGGGCGUGGCUCGUGACACCUGAUGACCAAACGGAUCUACGGCACCGUCGAAUCUCAAACUUUAACUACCAAAACUAUUGUUUUUCAUUCUGUAGUCCCUUUUAAAUUACUAAACGUCAUUUUUUCGGCCGAGAUUUCCAGGAACGCUUUCUUGUGGUUUGUGUGCAUGUAUUUCAAAUCAUACGGACCUAAAAAUUGGAAUCCAUUCCAUCUUUAUUCCCCUAGAGCCUUCCAGCAGUUCCUAAUCCGCUCCAGUCGGAGCACGUUAUCAUUGUUGUUAGUUCUGAGUGAAUUCCCUCGGUAUGAUCAUUCUUUCAUCAGUUUGUUCCCUGUUUCUUCUCUAGUCUGAGCCUAACACACUAUUCUAGCUAGACAUGGGUGUGGCUCGUAACACCCGAUGACCAAACGGAUCUACGGCACCGUCGAAUCUCAAACUUUAACUGCGAAAACUAUUGUUUUUCAUCCUGUAGUCCUUUUUAGAAUUACUAAACGUCCUUUUUUGGGACGAGAUUUCCAGGAACGCUUUCUCGGGGUUUGUGUGCGCGUAUUUCAAACCAUACGAACCUUAAAAUUAGAAUUCAUUCCAUCUUUAUUCCCCUAGAGCCUUCCAGCAGUUCCUAAACCGCUCCAGUCGGAGCACGUUAUCAUUCUUGUUAGUUCUGAGCAAAUUCCCUCGGUAUGAUCAUUCUUUCAUCAGUUUGUUCCCCGUUUCUUCUCUAGUCUGAGCCUAGCACACUAUUCUAGCUAUUAGUGGGUGUGGAUCGUAACACCUAAUGACCAAACGGAUCUAUGGCACCAUCGAAUCUCAAACUUUAACUGCCAAAACUAUUGUUUUUCAUCCUGUAGUCCCUUUUACAAUUAUUAAACGUCCUUUUUUGGGCCGAGAUUUCCAGGAACGCUUUCUCGGGGUUUGUGUGCAUGUAUUUCAAACCAAACGUUCCUAAAAAUUUGAAGGCAUUCCAUCUUUAUUCCCCUAGAGCCUUCCAGCAGUUCCUAAACCGCUCCAGUCGGAGCACGUUACCAUUCUUGUUAGUUCUGAGCGAAUUCCCUCGGUAUGAUCAUUUUUUCAUCAGUUUUUUCCCUGUUUCUUCUCUAGUCUGAGCCUCGCACACUAUUCUAGCUAUUAAUGGGUGUGGAUCGUAACACCUGAUGACCAAACGGAUCUACGGCACCGUCGAAUCUCAAACUUUAACUGCCAAAACUACUGUUUUUCAUUCUGUAGUCCAUUUUAAAUUACUAAACGUCAUUUUUGGGGCCGAUAUUUCCAGGAACGCUUUCUCGGGGUUUGUGUGCACGUAUUUCAAAUCAUACGGACCUAAAAAUUAGAAGUCAUUCCAUCUUUAUUCCCCUAGAGCCUUCCAGCAGUUCCUAAACCACUCCAGUCGGAGCAUGUUAUCAUUAUUGUUAGUUCUGAGUGAAUUCCCUCGGUAUGAUCAUUCUUUCAUCAGUUUGUUCCCCGUUUCUUCUCUAGUCUGAGCCUAUCAUACUAUUCUAGCUAGACAUGGGUGUGGCUCGUAACAUCUGAUGACCAAACGGAUCUAUGGCACCGUCGAAUCUCAAACUUUAACUGCCAAAACUAUUGUUUUUCAUCCAGUAGUCCCUUUUAGAAUUACUAAAUGUCCUUUUUUGGGCCGAGAUUUCCAGGAACGCUUUCUCGGGGUUUGUGUGCAUGUAUUUAAAACCAUACGGACCUAAAAAUUAGGUCAUUCCAUCUUUAUUCCCCUAGAGCCUUCCAGCAGUUCCUAAACCGCUCCAGUCGGAGCACGUUAUCAUUCUUGUUUGUUCUGAGCGAAUUCCCUCAGUAUGAUCAUUUUUCAUCAUUUUGUUCCCCGUUUCUUCUCUAGUCUGAGCCUAGCACACUAUUCUAGCUAGACAUGGGUGUGGCUCGUAACACUUGAUGACCAAAGGAUCUACGGCACCGUCGAAUCUCAAACUUUAACUGCCAAAACUAUUGUUUUUCAUCGUGUAGUCCCUUUGAAAUUUACUAAACGUCCUUUUUUGGGCUGAGAUUUCCAGGAAAGCUUUCGUGCGGUUUGUGUGCAAGUAUUUCAAAUCAUACGGACCUAUAAAUUAGAAGUCAUUCCAUCUUUAUUCCCCUAGAGCCUUCGAGCGGUUCCUAAACCGCUCCAGUCGGAGCAUGUUAUCAUUCUUGUUAGUUCUGAGUGAAUUCCCUCGGUAUGAUCAUUCUUUCAUCAGUUUGUUCCCCGUUUCUUCUCUAGUCUGAGCCUAGCACACGACUCUAGCUAGACAUGGGUUUGGCUCGUAACACCUGAUAACCAAAUGGCUCUAUGACACCAUCGAAUCUCAAACUUCUUUGGGCUGAGAUUUCCAUGAACGCUUUCUCGGGGUUUGUGUGCACGUAUUUCNNNNNNNNNNNNNNNNNNNNNNNNNNNNNNNNNNNNNNNNNNNNNNNNNNNNNNNNNNNNNNNNNNNNNNNNNNNNNNNNNNNNNNNNNNNNNNNNNNNNNNNNNNNNNNNNNNNNNNNNNNNNNNNNNNNNNNNNNNNNNNNNNNNNNNNNNNNNNNNNNNNNNNNNNNNNNNNNNNNNNNNNNNNNNNNNNNNNNNNNNNNNNNNNNNNNNNNNNNNNNNNNNNNNNNNNNNNNNNNNNNNNNNNNNNNNNNNNNNNNNNNNNNNNNNNNNNNNNNNNNNNNNNNNNNNNNGUAUUUCAAAUCAUGCGGACCUAAAAAUUAGAAGUCAUUCCAUAUUUAUUCCCCUAGAGCCUUCCAGCAGUUCCUAAACUGCUCCAGUCGGAGCAUGUUAUCAUUCUUGUUUGUUCUCAGGGAAUUCCAUCGGUAUGAUCAUUCUUUCAUCAGUUUGUUCCCCGUUUUUUCUCUAGCCUGAGCCUAACACACUAUUCUAGCUACACAUGGGUGUGGCUCGUAACACCUGAUGACCAAACGGAUCUACGACACCGUCGAAUCUGAAACUUUAACUGCCAAAACUAUUGUUUUUCAUCCUGUAGUCCCUUUUAGAAUUAGUAAACGUCCUUUUUUGGGCCAAGAUUUCCAGGAACGCUUUCUCGGGGUUUGUGUGCACGUAUUUCAAAACAUACGGACCUAAAAAUUAGAAGUCAUUCCAUCUUUAUUCCCCUAGAGCCUUCCAGCAGUUCCUAAACUGCUCUAGUCGGAGCAUGUUAUCAUUCUUGUUAGUUCUGAGUGAAUUCCCUCGGUAUGAUCAUUCUUUCAUAAGUUUGUUCCCCAUUUCUUCUCUAGUCUGAGCCUAGCACACUAUUCUAGAUAGACAUGGGUGUGGGCCAUAACACCUGAUGACCAAACGGAUCUACGGCACCCUCGAAUCUCAAACUUUAACUGCCAAAACUAUUGUUUUUCAUCUUGUAGUCCCUUUUAGAAUUACUAAACGUCCUUUUUUGGGCCGAGAUUUCCAGGAACGCUUUCUCGGGGUUUGUGUGCAUGUAUUUCAAACCAAACGUUCCUAGAAAUUAGAAGUCAUUCCAUGUUUAUUCCCCUAGAGCCUUCCAGCAGUUCCUAAACAGCUCUAGUCGAAGCACGUUAUCAUUCUUGUUAGUUCUGAGCGAAUUCCCUCGGUAUGAUCAUUCUUUCAUCAGUUUGUUUUGCGUUUCUUCUCUAUUCUGAGCCUAGCAAACUAUACUAGCUAUUAAUGGGUGUGGAUCGUAACACCUAGUGACCAAACGGAUCUACGGCACCAUCGAAUCUCAAACUUUAACUGCCAAAACUAUUAAACGUCCUUUUUUGGGCCGAGAUUUCCAGGAACGCUUUCUCGGGGUUUGUGUGCAUGUAUUUCAAAUCAUACGGACCUAAAAAUUAGAAGGCAUUCCAUCUUUAUUCCCCUAGAGCCUUCCAGUAGUUCCUAAACCACCCCAGUCGGAGCACGUUAUCAUUCUUGUUAGUUCUGAGCGAAUUCCCUUGGUAUGAUCAUUCUUUCAUCAGUUUGUUCCCUGUUUCUUCUCUAGCCUGAGCCUGACACACUAUUCUAGCUAGACAUGGGUGUGGCUCGUGACACCUAAUGAGCAAACGGAUCUACGGCACCGUCGAAUCUCAAACUUUAACUACCAAAACUAUUGUUUUUCAUUCUGUAGUCCCUUUUAAAUUACUAAACAUCAUUUUUUGGGCCGAGAUUUCCAGGAACGCUUUCUCGGGGUUUGUGUGCAUGUAUUUCAAUUCAUACGGACCUAAAAAUUAGAGUCCAUUCCAUCUUUAUUCCCCUAGAGCCUUCCAACAGUUCCUAAACCGCUCCAGUCGGAGCACGUUAUCAUUAUUGUUAGUUCUGAGUGAAUUCCCUCGGUAUGAUCAUUCUUUCAUCAGUUUGUUCCCGUUUCUUCUCUAGUCUGAGCCUAACACACUAUUCUAGCUAGACAUGGGUGUGGCUCGUAACACCUGAUGACCAAACGGAUCUACGGCACCGUCGAAUCUCAAACAUUAACUACGAAAACUAUUGUUUUUCAUUCUAUAGUCCCUUUUAGAAUUACUAAGCGUCCUUUUUUGGGCUGAGAUUUCCAGGAACGCUUUCUCGGGGUUUGUGUGCACGUAUUUCAAACAAUACGGACCGAAAAAUUAGAAUUCAUUCCAUCUUUAUUCCCCUAGAGCCUUCUAGCAGUUCCUAAAUCGCUCCAGUCGGAGCACGUUAUCAUUCUUGUUAGUUCUCAGGGAAUUCCCUCGGUAUGAUCAUUCUUUCAUCAGUUUGUUCCCCGUUUCUUCUCUAGCCUGAGCCUAACACACUAUUCUAGCUACACAUGGGCAUGGCUCGUAACACCUGAUGACCAAAUGGAUCUACGACACCGUCGAAUCUCAAACUUUAACUGCCAAAACUAUUGUUUUUCAUCCUGUAGUCCCUUGUAGAAUUACUAAACGUCCUUUUUUGGGCCGAGAUUUCGAGGAACGCUUUGUCGGGGUUUGUGUGCACAUAUUUCAAACCAUACGGACCUAAAAAUUAGAAGUCAUUCCAUCUUUGUUCCCCUAGAGCCUUCCAGCAGUUCCUAAACCGCUCCAGUCGGAGCACGUUAUCAUUCUUGUUAGUUAUGAGCAAAUUCCCUCGGUAUGUACAUUCUUUCAUCAGUUUGUUCCGUGUUUCUUCUCUAGCCUGAGCUUGACACACUAUUCUAGCUAGACAUGGGUGUGGCUCGUGACACCUAAUGACCAAACGGAUCUACGGCACCGUCGAAUCUCAAACUUUAACUACCAAAACUAUUGUUUUUCAUUCUGUAGUCCCUUUUAAAUUACUAAACGUCCUUUUUUGGGCCGAGAUUUCCAGGAACGCUUUCGCCCGGUUUGUGUGCAAGUAGUUCAAAUCAUACGGACCUAAAAAUUAGAUGUCAUUCCAUCUUUAUUCCCUCUAGAGCCUUCCAGCACUUCCUAAACCGCUCUAGUCGGAGCACGUUAUCAUUCUUGUUAGUUCUGAGUGAAUUCCCUUGGUAUGAUCAUUCUUUCAUCAGUUUGUUCUCCAUUUCUUCUCUAGUCUGAGCCUAACACACUACUCUAGCUAGACAUGGGUGUGGCUCAUAACACCUCAUGACCAAACAGGUCUACGGCACCAUCAAAUCUCAAACUUUAACUGCCAAAACUAUUGUUUUUCAUUCUGUAGUCCAUUUUAGAAUUACUAAACGUCCUUUUUUGGGACGAGAUUUCCAGGAACGCUUUCUCGGGGUUUGUGUGCACGUAUUUCAAAUCAUACAGACCUAAAAAUUAGAAGUCAUUCCAUCUUUAUUCCCCUAGAGCCUUCCAGCAGUUCCUAAACCGCUCCAGUCAGAGCAUGUUAUCAUUCUUGGUAGUUCUGAGUGAAUUCCCUCGGUAUGAUCAUUCUUUCAUCAGUUUGUUCCCCGUUUCUUCUCUAGCCUGAGCCUAACACACUAUUCUAGCUAGACAUGUGUGUGGCUCGUAACACCUGUUGACCAAACGGAUCUACGGCACCGUCGAAUCUCAAAUUUUAACUGCCAAAACUAUUGUUUUUCAUCUUGUAGUCCCUUUUAGAAUUACUAAACGUCCUUUUUUGGGCCGAGAUUUCCAGGAACGCCUUCUCGGGGUUUGUUUGCACGUAUUUCGAACCAUAUGGACCUAAAAAUUAGAAGUCAUUCCAUAUUUAUUCCCCUAUAGCCUUCCCGCAGUUUCUAAACCGCUCCAGUCGAAGCAUGUGAUCAUUCUUGUUAGUUCUGAGUGAAUUCCCUCGGUAUGAUCAUUCUUUCAUCAGUUUGUUCCCUGUUUCUUCUCUAGCCUGAGCCUGACACACUAUUCUAGCUAGACAUGGGUGUGGCUCAUGACACUUGAUGACCAAACGGAUCUACGGCACCGUUGAAUCUCAAACUUUAACUACCAAAACUAUUGUUUUUCAUUCUGUAGUCCCUUUUAAAUUACUAAACGUCAUUUUUUGGGCCGAGAUUUCCAGGAACGCUUUCUCGGGGUCUGUGUGCAUGUAUUUCAAAUCAUACGGACCUAAAAAUUAGAAUCCAUUCCAUCUUUAUUCCCCUAGAGCCUUCGAGCAGUUCCUAAACCGCUCCAGUUGGAGCACGUUAUCAUUAUUGUUAGUUGUGAGUGAAUUCCCUCGGUAUGAUCAUUCUUUCAUCAGUUUGUUCCCUGUUUCUUCUCUAGUCUGAGCCUAACACACUAUUCUAGCUAGACAUGGGUGUGGCUCGUAACACCCGAUGACCAAACGGAUCUACGGCACCGUCGAAUCUCAAACUUUAACUGCGAAAACUAUUGUUUUUCAUCCUGUAGUCCUUUUUAGAAUUACUAAACGUCCUUUUUUGGGACGAGAUUUCCAGGAACGCUUUCUCGGGGUUUGUGUGCGCGUAUUUCAAACCAUACGAACCUUAAAAUUAGAAUUCAUUCCAUCUUUAUUCCCCUAGAGCCUUCCAGAAGUUCCUAAACCGCUCCAGUCGGAGCACGUUAUCAUUCUUGUUAGUUCUGAGCGAAUUCCCUCGGUAUGAUCAUUCUUUCAUCAGUUUGGCCCCCCUUUCUUCUCUAUUCUGAGCCUAGCACACUAUUCUAGCUAUUAAUGGGUGUGGAUCGUAACACCUAAUGACCAAACGGAUCUACGACACCAUCGAAUCGCAAUCUUUAACUGCCAAAACUAUUGUUUUUCAUCCUGUAGUCCCUUUUACAAUUAUUAAACGUCCUAUUUUGGGCCGAGAUUUCCAGGAACGCUUUCUCGGGGUUUGUGUGCAUGUAUUUCAAAUCAUACGGACCUAAAAGUUUGAAGGCAUUCCAUCUUUAUUCCCCUAGAGCCUUCCAGCAGUUCCUAAACCGCUCCAGUCGGAUCACGUUAUCAUUAUUGUUAGUUCUGAGCAAAUUCCCUCGGUAUGAUCAUUCUUUCAUCAGUUUGUUCCCUGUUUCUUCUCUAACCUGAGCAUGACACACUAUUCUAGCUAGACAUGGGUGUGGCUCGUGACACCUGAUGACCAAACGGAUCUACGGCACCGUCGAAUCUCAAACUUUAACUGCAAAAACUAUUGUUUUUCAUUCUAUAGUCCCUUUUAAAUUACUAAACGUCCUUUUUUGGGCCGAGAUUUCCAGGAACGCUUUCGCCCGGUUUGUGUGCAAGUAUUUCAAAUCAUACGGACCUAAAAAUUAGAUGUCAUUCCAUCUUUAUUCCCUCUAGAGCCUUCCAGCACUUCCUAAACCGCUCUAGUCGGAGCACGUUAUCAUUCUUGUUAGUUCUGAGUGAAUUCCCUUGGUAUGAUCAUUCUUUCAUCAGUUUGUUCUCCAUUUCUUCUCUAGUCUGAGCCUAGCACACUACUCUAGCUAGACAUGGGUGUGGCUCAUAACACCUGAUGACCAAACGGAUCUACGGCACCGUCGAAUCUCUAACUUUAACUGCAAAAACUAUUGUUUUUCAUCCUGUAGUCCCUUUUAGAAUUACUAAACGUCCUCUUUUGGGCCGAGAUUUCCAAGAACGCUUUCUCAGGGUUUGUGUGCGUGUAUUUCAAAGCAUAUGGACCUAAAAAUUAGAAUUCAUUCCAUCUUUAUUCCCCUAGAGCCUUCCAGCAGUUCCUAAACCGCUCCACUCGGAUUACGUUAUCAUUCUUGUUAGUUCUGAGCGAAUUCCCUCGGUAUGAUCAUUCUUUCAUCAGUUUGUUCCCCGUUUCUUCUCUAGUCCGAGCCUAGCACACAAUUCUAGCUAGACAUGGGUGUGGCUCGUAUCACCUGAUGACCAAACGGAUCUACGGCACCGUCGAAUCUCAAAUUUAACUGCCAAAACUAUUAUUUUUCAUCCUGUAGUCCCUUUUAGAAUUACUAAACGUCCUUUUUUGGGCCGAGAUUUCCAGGAACGCUUUCGCGCGGUUUGUGUGCAAGUAUUUCAAAUCAUACGGACCUAAAAAUUAGAUGUCAUUCCAUCUUUAUUCCCCUAGAGCCUUCCAGCACUUCCUAAACCGCUCCAGUCGGAGCACGUUAUCAUUCUUGUUAGUUCCGAGUGAAUUCCCUUGGUAUGAUCAUUCUUUCAUCAGUUUGUUCUCCAUUUCUUCUCUAGUCUGAGCCUAGCACACUACUCUAGCUAGACAUGGGUGUGGCUCAUAAGACCUCAUGACCAAACGGGUCUACGGCACCAUCAAAUCUCAAACUUUAACUGCUAAAACUAUUGUUUUUCAUUCUGUAGUCCCUUUUAGAAUUACUAAACAUCCUUUUUUGGGCCGAGAUUUCCAGGAACGCUUUCUCGGGGUUUGUGUGCAUGUAUUUCAAAUCAUACAGACCUAGAAAUUAGAAGUCAUUCCAUCUUUAUUCCCCUAGAGCCUUCCAGCAGUUCCUAAACCGCUCCAGUCAGAGCAUGUUAUCAUUCUUGGUAGUUCUGAGUGAAUUCCCUCGGUAUGAUCAUUCUUUCAUCAGUUUGUUCCCCGUUUCUUCUCUAGCCCGAGCCUAACACACUAUUCUAGCUAGACAUGUGUGUGGCUCGUAACACCUGAUGACCAAACGGAUCUACGGCACCGUCGAAUCUCAAACUUUAUCUGCCAAAACUAUUGUUUUUCAUCUUGUAGUCCCUUUUAGAAUUACUAAACGUCCUUUUUUGGGCCGAGAUUUCCAGGAAUGCUUUCUCGGGGUUUGUUUGCAUGUAUUCCAAACCAUACAGACCUAAAAAAUUAGAAGUCAUUCCAUAUUUAUUCCCCUAUAGCCUUCCAGCAGUUUGUAAACCGCUCCAGUCGGAGCAUGUUAUCAUUCUUGUUAGUUCUGAGUGAAUUCCCUCGGUAUGAUCAUUCUUUCAUCAGUUUGUUCCCUGUUUCUUCUCUAGCCUGAGCCUGACACACUAUUCUAGCUAGACAUGGGUGUGGCUCAUGACACCUGAUGACCAAACGGAUCUACGGCACCGUCGAAUCUCAAACUUUAACUACCAAAACUAUUGUUUUUCAUUCUGUUGCCCCUUUUAAAUUACAAAACGUCAUUUUUUGGGCCGAGAUUUCCAGGAACGCUUUCUCGGGGUUUGUGUGCAUGUAUUUCAAGUCAUACGAACCUAAAAAUUAGAAUACAUUCCAUCUUUAUUCCCCUAGAGCCUUCCAGCAGUUCCUAAACCGCUCCAGUCAGAGCACGUUAUCAUUCUUGUUAGUUCUCAGGGAAUUCCCUCGGUAAGACCAUUCUUUCAUCAGUUUGUUCCCCGUUUCUUCUCUAGCCUGUGCCUAGCACACUAUUCUAGCUACACAUGGGUGUGGCUCGUAACACGUGAUGACCAAACGGAUCUACGACACCGUCGAAUCUCAAACUUUAACUGCCAAAACUAUUGUUUUUCAUCCUGUAGUCCCUUGUAGAAUUACUAAACGUCCUUUUUUGGGCCGAGAUUUCGAGGAACGCUAUGUUGGGGUUUGUGUGCACGUAUUUCAAACCAUACAGACCUAAAAAUUAGAAGUCAUUCCAUCUUUGUUCCCCUAGAGCCUUCCAGCAGUUCCUAAACCGCUCUAGUUGGAGCACGUUAUCAUUCUUGUUAGUUCUGAGCAAAUUCCCUCGGUAUGAUCAUUCUUUCAUCAGUUUAUUCCCUGUUUCUUCUCUAGUUUGAGCCUAGCACACUAUUCUAGCUACUAAUGGGUGUGGAUCGUAACACCUGAUGACCAAACGGAUCUACGGCACCGUCGAAUCUCAAACUUUAACUGCCAAAACUACUGUUUUUCAUUCCGUAGUCCCUUUUAAAUUACUAAACGUCAUUUUUUGGGCAGAGAUAUCCAGGAACGCUUUCUCGGGGUUUGUGUGCACGUAUUUCAAAUCAUACGGACCUAAAAAAUAGAUUCCAUUCCAUCUUUAUUCCCCUCGAGCUUUCCAGCAGUUCCUAAACCGCUCCAGUCGGAGCACGUUAUCAUUAUUGUUAGUUCUGAGUGAGUUCCCUCGGUAGGAUCAUUCUUUCAUCAGUUUGUUCCCCGUUUCUUCUCUAGUCUGAGCCUAACACACUAUUCUAGCUAGACAUGGGCAUGGAUCAUAACACCUGAUGACCAAACGGAUCUACGGCACCGUCGAAUCUCAAACUUUAACUGCGAAAACUAUUGUUUUUCAUCCUGUAGUCCCUUUUAGAAUUACUAAACGUCCUUUUUGGGCCGAGAUUUCCAGGAACGCUUUCUCAGGGUUUGUGUGCGUGUAUUUCAAACCAUACGGACCUAAAAAUUAGAAUUCAUUCCAUCUUUAUUUCCCUAGAGCCUUCCAGCAGUUCCUAAACCGCUCCAGUCGGAGCACGUUAUCAUUCUUGUUAGUUCUGAGCGAAUUCCCUCGGUAUGAUCAUUCUUUCAUCAGUUUGUUCCCCGUUUCUUCUCUAGUCUGAGCCUAACACACGAUUCUAGCUAGACAUGGGUGUGGCUCGUAUCACCUGAUGACCAAACAGAUCUACGGCACCGUCGAAUCUCAAAUUUAACUGCCAAAACUAUUAUUUUUCAUCCUGUAGUCCCUUUUAGAAUUACUAAACGUCCUUUUUUUGGCCGAGAUUUCCAGGAACGCUUUCGCCCAGUUUGUGUGCAAGUAUUUCAAAUCAUACGGACCUAAAAAUUAGAUGUCAUUCCAUCUUUAUUCCCCUAGAGCCUUCCAGCACUUCCUAAACCGCUCUAGUUGGAGCACGUUAUCAUUCUUGUUAGUUCUGAGUGAAUUCCCUUGGUAUAAUCAUUCUUUCAUCAGUUUGUUCUCCAUUUCUUCUGUAGUCUGAACCAAGCACACUACUCUAGCUAGACAAGGGUGUGGCUCAUAACACCUCAUGACCAAACGGGUCUACGGCACCAUCAAAUUUCAAACUUUAACUGCCAAUACUAUUGUUUUUCAUUCUGUAUUCCCUUUUAGAAUUACUAAACGUCCUUUUUUGGGCCGAGAUUUCUAGGAACGCUUUCUCGGGGUUUGUGUGCACGUAUUUCAAAUCAUACGGACCUAAAAAUUAGAAGUCAUUCCAUCUUUAUUCCCCUAGAGCCUUCCAGCCGUUCCUAAACCGCUCCAGUCGAAGCACGUUAUCAUUAUUGUUAGUUGUCAGUGAAUUCCCUCAGUAUGAUCAUUCUUUCAUCAGUUUGUUCCCUGUUUCUUCUCUAGUCUGAGCUUAACACACUAUUCUAGCUAGACAUGGGUGUGGCUCGUAACACCCGAUGACCAAACGGAUCUACGGCACCGUCGAAUCUCAAACUUUAACUGCGAAAACUAUUGUUUUUCAUCCUGUAGUCCUUUUUAGAAUUACUAAACGUCCUUUUUUGGGACGAGAUUUCCAGGAACGCUUUCUCGGGGUUUGUGUGCAUGUAUUUCAAAUCAUACGGACCUAAAAAUUAGAUGUCAUUCCAUCUUUAUUCCCCUAGAGCCUUCCAGCACUUCCUAAACCGCUCUAGUCGGAGCACGUUAUCAUUCUUGUUAGUUCUGAGUGAAUUCACUUGGUAUGAUCAUUCUUUCAUCAGUUUGUUCUCCAUUUCUUCUCUAGUCUGAGCCUAGCACACUACUCUAGCUAGACAUGGGUGUGGCUCAUAACACCUCGUGACCAAACGGGUCUACGGCACCAUCAAAUCUCAAACUUUAACUACCAAAACUAUUGUUUUUCAUUCUGUAUUCCCUUUUAGAAUUACUAAACGUCCUUUUUUGGGCCGAGAUUUCCAGG
rnacentral:lncRNA from 1 species